rnacentral:misc_RNA from 2 species
AACGCACCUUGCGCUCCUUGGUAUUCCGAGGAGCAUGCCUGUUUGAGUGUCAUUAAAUUCUCAACCAUGACUUUGUUGACAUGGCUUGGAGUUGGGGGUUGCUGGCUUGUUUGUCAGCUCUCCUGAAAUACAUUAGCGGUGGACAAGCAAGGCCUUCCGACGUGAUAAUGAUCGUCGUGGGGCGGAGCAUCAACGUCUGUCUGCUUCUAAAUCCCAGAUGCCUUAGCUAGACAUCAUUUCGAACGCUUGACCUCAAAUCAGGUAGGACUACCCGCUGAACUUAA